GACAGAGGGGGCAAGCGUUGCUCGGAAUCACUGGGCGUAAAGGGCGCGUAGGCGGGAUGGCAAGUCGGUCGUGAAAUCUCUCGGCUCAACCGAGAAACGUCGGCCGAUACUGCCGUUCUUGAGGGAUGCAGAGGAGACUGGAAUUCCCGGUGUAGCGGUGAAAUGUGUAGAGAUCGGGAGGAACACCGGUGGCGAAGGCGGAUCUCUGGGCCAUUACUGACGCUGAGGAGCGAAAGCGUGGGGAGCGAACAGG
rnacentral:rRNA from 1 species